UAGAUUGGGACAUAUAAAAAAAACACAACUCUGUUCCGCAGAGUAGCUGUUGACAUUAUAUUUGUGCAGGCACUUUGUUGACUCUAGAGAACCUCGGGCCAAUUGCACAUCCCCGUGACGGCGACUUUGCAUUCGGAUGUCAUCCAUAUCAACUUUCGAUGCCAGUUUCUGCGCCUACCAUGGGGACCACGGGUAACAGGGAAUCAGGGUUCCAUUCCAUACAGGGACCCUGAGAAAUGGCUACCACAUGCAAGGAAGGCAGCAGGCGCGCAAAUGACCCACUCCCGACGCGUGAAGGUAGUG